AGAGUUUGAUCCUGGCUCAGAUUGAACGCUGGCGGCAUGCUUUACACAUGCAAGUCGAACGGCAGCACAGGGAGCUUGCUCCCGGGUGGCGAGUGGCGCACGGGUGAGUAAUACAUCGGAACGUGUCCUGUUGUGGGGGAUAACUGCUCGAAAGGGUGGCUAAUACCGCAUGAGACCUGAGGGUGAAGGCGGGGGAUCGCAAGACCUCGCGCAAUUGGAGCGGCCGAUGCCCGAUUAGCUAGUUGGUGAGGUAAAGGCUCACCAAGGCGACGAUCGGUAGCUGGUCUGAGAGGACGACCAGCCACACGUGGGACUGGAGACACGGCCCAGACUCCGUACGGGAGCA
rnacentral:rRNA from 1 species